rnacentral:rRNA from 1 species
AUUGAACGCUGGCGGCAGGCCUAACACAUGCAAGUCGAACGGUAACAGGAAACAGCUUGCUGUUUCGCUGACGAGUGGCGGGCGUGUGGGGAAUGUCUCGGAAACUGCCUGAUGGAGGGGGAUCACUACUGGAAACGGUAGCUAAGACCGCAUAACGUCGCAAGACCAAAGAGGGGGACCCUCGGGCCCCUUGCCAUCGGAUGUGCCCAGAUGGGCUUGGUUGGGUGGUGGGGUAACGGCUCACCAAGGAGACGAUACCUAGCUGGUAUGGGAGGAUGACCAGCCAGACUGGAACGGAGGCACGGUCCAGAGUCCUACGGGAGGCAGCAGUGGCGAAUAUUGGACACUGGGGGGAAGACUAAUGCAGCCAUGCCGCGUGUAUGAAGAAGGCCUUCGGGUUGUAAAGUACUUUCAGCGGGGGGGAAGAGAGUAAAGUUCAUACCUUUGCUCAUUGACGUUACCCGCAGAAGAAGCACCGGCUAACUCCGUG